rnacentral:rRNA from 1 species
UACGGAGGAUCCGAGCGUUAUCCGGAUUUAUUAGGUUUAAAGGGAGCGUAGGCGGGUUGUUAAGUCAGUUGUGAAAGUUUGCGGCUCAACCGUAAAAUUGCAGUUGAUACUGGCAUCCUUGAGUACAGUAGAGGUAGGCGGAAUUCGUGGUGUAGCGGUGAAAUGCUUAGAUAUCACGAAGAACUCCGAUUGCGAAGGCAGCCUGCUGGACUGUAACUGACGCUGAUGCUCGAAAGUGUGGGUAUCAAACAGG